rnacentral:rRNA from 1 species
CACUCCUGCGGGAGGCAGCAGUGGGGAAUAUUGGACAAUGGGCGCAAGCCUGAUCCAGCCAUGCCGCGUGAGUGCUGAAGGCCCUAGGGUUGUAAAGCUCUUUCACCGGUGAAGAUAAUGACGGUAACCGGAGAAGAAGCCCCGGCUAACUUCGUGCCAGCAGCCGCGGUAAUACGAAGGGGGCUAGCGUUGUUCGGAUUUACUGGGCGUAAAGCGCACGUAGGCGGACUAUUAAGUCAGGGGUGAAAUCCCGGGGCUCAACCCCGGAACUGCCUUUGAUACUGGUAGUCUUGAGUUCGAGAGAGGUGAGUGGAAUUCCGAGUGUAGAGGUGAAAUUCGUAGAUAUUCGGAGGAACACCAGUGGCGAAGGCGGCUCACUGGCUCGAUACUGACGCUGAGGUGCGAAAGCGUGGGGAGCAAACAGUAUUAGAAACCCUAGUAGUCCCA